rnacentral:lncRNA from 1 species
UUAACUCUAACUCGACUAAUUAAUUCAACUUCAUCCUUUAAUUGAUUUAUGAAAUAGUCAAAAUCAAUCACAGCAAGCAAAUUAAAUUCCAAACACAAAUUAAGAUAAAUGUCCCAUUCCCAAUAAUGAAUCAUAUACGAGCUUUGACUACUUCAAAGAGAGCAUCAAUAGAAACAUACCAACAAAUAAUCACAUAAUAAAACUAAAGGGUUUAAGAAAAGAGAAAAGGGAUCGGAACUCACAGGGAGCACAUUUCUAACGUUAACAGAUAAACUUCGACGGAAUCCUACUGCUUACCGCUGACUGGAAAAGCGAACCGCGCCGGCGACCUCGACGUACUUCAGUCUGAAACUCUGACUUUAACCCGAGCAGCAGUCACGCGACUCGAUCUCGAAUACCUCGAGCCAUCUCCAUUAUCGCAACCAAAAGAGAAUUCGAAAGGAAGAGACGAAAACCUAUUUUUAUUGGUGUUGGCGUGAGAUGAUGGCUGUGAGGGCAGGUGAGAUUUCCGGCGAGUUUUGUGAGGAUUUACAGCGGCUGUGAGGGAGGAGAACGGAAGGUCGUUUAUGGGGAGAAAGCUGGGGUCGUUCUUGGAUGGUUACUGCUGUUCGGGGGUGUUGGAGGUGAACAGCUGAAGGGUUUUUUUAGGGUUCAGGGGUGUUCUAUUGUGAGUUUUUGAAGAAGAAGGGUCUGGUUCGUUUGGUGUGGCGGCUGUGGCUGUUGUCGGACUGGCGGCUGGGAUAUAGGGAGAGACGACGGGGAUAUAGGGGUUGACGGCGGGGUACGGCGUAGCUGGUGAAGAAGACCGGUGGCUGUGCUUUUUUCUAGGGUUUUUCUUUCAUCUCCAUUGUUGUAGUCUUGGUGUCCAAGUUUUUCCAAUGUGUUCCUCCAUUGUUGUGUUCUUUCUUGUGUUCAAGGGUUGAAGGAGAUAGAUUAUGGCUGCUAGGGUUUUUUCCAGUUGAAGAAAAUAAUUAUCCUAGGGUUUUUUUAGUCUUUAAAAAUUUGACGAGGUGUGGGCUAUCAAGACUUGGACUUCAAAAUUAGGCUCUAAAAAUGUGUAAAAUUAUGCAAAAAAAAUACUGAAAAUUCAAAUUAAAUACCUAUGAAAACUCUACAUUAAUUUUGAUAAAUUAUUUGUAUAAAAAAUAAAACUAAAAAUUAAAGUUUGAUCUAUUUUUGGUAUUUUCAAAGAUUAUAUUAAAAUAAAAGUAGGCUUAAAGUAAUAUAUCCUCCAAAAAAUAUCUAAUAUGCGAAUUAAAUAGAGAGAUAUGAAACUAUUUUCGUAAUUUUUCAAUUUUUGUUCUUAAUGUAAUGUUAAAGUGCCAAAAUUACUUGAAAUAACUAUAUUAAGCCUAAAUAAAAUAUUUUACGCUAAAAUGGGUUAAAUUUCGGGGAGGGUAAAAAAUGAUGUGUCUACAAUAAGGGUCAAAAUCGAAUCGAUAAAUCGAAUGCACACCCCUAGACUGUAGACACUUGU